rnacentral:rRNA from 1 species
GACGAACGCUGGCGGCGUGCUUAACACAUGCAAGUCGAACGGAAAGGCCCUGCUUUUGUGGGGUGCUCGAGUGGCGAACGGGUGAGUAACACGUGAGUAACCUGCCCUUGACUUUGGGAUAACUUCAGGAAACUGGGGCUAAUACCGGAUAGGAGCUCCUGCUGCAUGGUGGGGGUUGGAAAGUUUCGGCGGUUGGGGAUGGACUCGCGGCUUAUCAGCUUGUUGGUGGGGUAGUGGCUUACCAAGGCUUUGACGGGUAGCCGGCCUGAGAGGGUGACCGGCCACAUUGGGACUGAGAUACGGCCCAGUAUCGUACGGGAGGCAGCAGUGGGGAAUAUUGCACAAUGGGGGGAAGCCUGAUGCAGCGACGCCGCGUGCGGGAUGACGGCCUUCGGGUUGUAAACCGCUUUCGCCUGUGCCGAAGAGUGAGUGACGGUAAUGGGUAAAGAAGCACCGGCUAACUACGUG